rnacentral:pre_miRNA from 1 species
GUGUGUUUGUGUAUGGAUGGUGUUCAGCACCAAGAACAAGUUUGUUUGUAGAUGGUGUUCAGCACCAAGGACAGGUCUGUUUGUGG